UCACGUGUGAAUGACAAAUUUCAUUGAACAACAAUAUUGGCUUGAAUGAGUUCAACAAUUUGGAAGAUUCAAAGCAAGGCAACGUACGAUGGAUAAAGUGUAAAUUUCAAAGCUUGAAGCAGGAGCAAUUGAUUUAUAGCCUCUUCCAUGUUCUUCUUAAGCUGCUCAACAACCAGUGCAAAAGAAUCAUUGAUUUACUGGAUACAUCUUUUCCAUAUAUCUUCACUAACACAAUAUCUCAUUCUAUUUCUCCACGGUAGAUGGGUGGGGUAUAUGGAAACAAAUGGUCUCUGGAUUCAAUGAUGUGGUUAACUUUUGCAUCGGUGUUUGGCUUGUGGGCAUUUACUGUAAGUUCAGCUAAUUUGGUUUCAGAAAGGGAGUUUGGUAAUUACAAACAUGGUAGAAGGAAACUAGACGACAUAGGAGGUUCCAUAAGCAUUGAUUGUGGGAUUCUGGAUGAUUUCGGAUACACUGAUGACAAAACUGAGAUAGAAUACAUUUCAGACAAAUACAUUGACUCUGGAGAGAAUAAGAACAUAUCUUCCAAGUUCAAUCUUGAAACCCUUCAAAAAUAUCUAUGGAAUGUUAGAAGUUUUCCUCAGGGAAACAGGAAUUGCUACACCAUUAGGCCUCAUGAAGGCAAAGAUACUAACUACUUCAUCAGAGCCACCUUCAUGUAUGGGAAUUAUGAUGAGCAGGACAAGUUGCCAGAAUUUGAUCUAUAUAUUGGAGUUAAUCUUUGGGACAAAGUAAAGUUUGAGAAUGAAUCUCAUAUUGUCAUCAAGGAGAUUAUACAUUUUUCUUUGGUGGAUGACAUAAAUGUUUGCCUCUUAAAUACUGGCUCAGGAACUCCUUUCAUAUCAGCACUAGAGCUGAGGCACUUCCAUAAUUCAACUUAUGAAAUCUCAUCUAAUAAAUCCUUGGCUCUGUACAGUCGUUUCGAUGUUGGUUCAACAGCUGGUCGAAUAAUCCGGUACAAAGAUGAUGUUUAUGAUCGAAUGUGGUUUCCUUAUAACACUCCUCAGUCGAUACCGUUCAACACCUCCUUUGCUAUUGAUAGCGCGACUCAAUUUCAAUAUAAACUGCCAUCAAUUGUCAUGACCACGGCAGUUAAACCCAUGAAUAAUGUUUCCCUUGAUUUUGAAGUGGAUAUUGUUGAUCCCAUUUUCUAGUGUUACAUAUACCUGCAUUUUGCCGAACUUGAUAAACUCCAAGAGAAUGAAUACAGAGAAUUCAACAUUAAUCUAAAUGGUAAACCCUGGCUGGAAGCCAGUGUUGUUCCUAAUUACCUGUAUUCAACUACUAUAUAUAGCACCGUGCCAGUGAGGGGACCUAAGCUCAAAUUUUCUAUUAACAAGACAGAAAAUUCCACCCUUCCUCCUAUUCUCAAUGCAAUGGAAGUUUACAUAGUGAAAGACUUCUUCCAAGCACCAACAGACCAAGAAGAUGUUAUUGCCAUCAUGGACAUCAAAGUGAGCAAUGGGGUAACUAAAAUCUGGCAAGGAGAUCCAUGUCUGCCACGACCUGCAUGGGAUGGCCUGAAUUGCAAAGACAAUGGUUACGAGCCCCCUAUAAUCAUCUCCUUGAAUCUAGGCUCAAGUGGAUUGACAGGAAAGAUAUCUCCUUCAAUGGCUAGGUUUAAAUCAUUAGAGUACCUGGAUUUAUCAAACAAUAGCUUAACAGGACCACUACCAGAAUUUUUGUCACAAAUGCCAAACUUAAGAACCCUGAAUUUGUCAGGAAACGAACUCUCUGGUUCAGUUCCUUCCGCUCUCCAAGAAAGAUCAAAUAAUGGUUUUCUGUCAUUGAGUGUGGAUGGAAAUCCAGACCUUUGUGUGAUGGCUCCAUGCAAAAAGGAGAAAAAGAAUUUUGUUGUCCCGUUAAUUGCAGCCACUGUCUCAGCUCUAGUUGUCUUAACUAUGCUAGUUGUUUGUUGGCGCUGCAAAAGAAAACAAGCUGCAAAGCAACUUCCAAGAACUCACCAAGGAGGCAGGCCACUGAAGUCAGACAAUCGACAAUUCACAUACUCUGAGGUUGUAAGUAUAACCAAUAACUUUCAGAAAAUUGUUGGGAAAGGGGGAUUUGGAACGGUAUACCUUGGAUGCCUAAGUGAUGGCAUGCAAGUUGCAGUCAAAAUGCUCUCUCCAUCAUCAACUGAUGGCUCAAACCAAUUUCUCACAGAGGCUCAGCUCUUGAUGCGGGUUCAUCAUAGAAACUUAACUUCCUUUGUUGGAUACUGCAAUGAGGGUACAAAUUUUGGGAUCAUCUAUGAGUACAUGGAGUAUGGGAACUUAGAAGAGCAUCUAUCAGAUAAAACAAGAGACGCUUUGAGUUGGAAAGAGAGACUUCAGAUUGCAGUUGAUGCGGCACAAGGCCUAGAGUACUUGCAUCAUGGUUGCAAACCACCUAUAAUUCACAGAGAUGUGAAGACAGCCAACAUUUUAGUGAAUGAAAAACUGCAGGCCAAGAUAGCUGAUUUUGGUUUCUCAAAAUUCUUCACUGAAGGUCAAAGUCAUUUAUCCACUGCUAUUGUUGGCACGAUGGGUUACCUUGAUCCAGAAUACUACACUUCCAACAGGUUAACUGAGAGAAGUGAUGUGUACAGCUUUGGAAUUGUACUUUUGGAGCUGAUCACAGGCAAGAGAGCAAUAAUAAAAAGCCAUAACAAGGAUAACACUAAUAUUGUUGAUUGGGUUAGCCCCCUUCUUGCUAGAGGGGAUAUAAGAAAUAUCAUUGAUCCGAGAAUGCCUGGAAAUUUUGACACAAAUUCGGUUUGGAAGGCAAUAGAGACAGCAAUAGCAUGUGUGCCAUUAAUUUCCAUCCAAAGGCCAAGCAUGAGCCAUGUGGUGAUUGAAUUGAAGGAGUGCUUGGAGAUAGAAAAGGUUCAUGAACAAGAUUGUGGUCCAAUGACGAAAUCAUUCAACGACACAUUUGAAGUGAACCCUUUGGGCCUUGAGAUGGAUAUGGUUCCCCAGGCAAGGUAGUACGUACUAGGUAGCCAAUUGCUGGUUUUGAGUAUAAUACAAACGAUCCAAGUUGUUGAUCGUAA